AUGUAUGAUGAGUUAGCUAUUGUUGUGGGGAAGGACACAGCCAUGGGUGGUUUUUCUAAGUCCUAUUUGGAUAUUGAGAAUGAGCUAGAAAAUGGAGACAGUGCUGAGUUUAUUACAGAUAAUGUGGAGGAAGAUGUGGUCGAAAAAGGGAAGAAUGCAGUCGAGUCAUCCACCACUGGGUUGAGAAUUUCCAAGUCCCACAAAAGAGGGCGUGCACCUUCUAAUGCUGAUGAUAGUGUGCUGACUGAUCUGUCUGAUCAGCUGAAGGAAAUAGUUGUGGCCCUAAAAGAAAUCAACCGGGGCCCGGUGGAUUACACAGCUCUUUACAAUGAGGUCAUAGCUAUGAUGGCGGAUGGGUAUAGCAAAGAAAUGCUCGCAACUGCGUUUGACCAUCUGUGUGAAAAUGAGAAGGUAGCACGGGGAUUUCUAGCCAAGAAUGCUAGGCUGCGAAAGAUGUGGUUGGAUAGUUUUUUUUUCUCACAACUUUGACUUGUCUGUUUCAUGUAGAUUGUGAUAGUAGCUUUAGGAAUUUACUUUUGUUGUAGAACUAGUAUUGACCUACCAUUGUAUUAUAUAUGUAGUAUUUUGUAUUAUUGGGACAAUACAAUUGCCCAAAUUAUGUAUUUGUACUGUUCAAAUACCAUGAGUAGGUAUCAUUUUUGUACACCAUGGAGGUGUAAUGACAAUGGUGAACAAUUAAUGUGGCUGUUUUUAUAUUAAUAUUAUGGGUAUAUUUAAAUGAUUAUUUUUGAUGUUGAAGUGGAUGAUUAUUUUUGUACUGUUACAGAUAUGUUUAGGCUAUGCAGGUGCUUGAAUUUGGAUGAUUAAUGUUGAUGUUGAAGUGGAUGAUUAGUUUUGUACUAUUACAUGUUUAUCUAGGUAAUGUAGGAGUAGAAAUUUGUAAGGCAUUUCAUAUUUUCCGUAAAAUGAUCCACAAACCAAACAUGGGAAUUGAUUUUCCGUAAAAAUCAACUUUCAUUUUUCGUAAAAUGUUUGACCGAACCAAACAUGAGAAUUGAUUUUCCGUAAAACAAAAAACAUUUUCCGUAAAAUGUUUGACCGAACCAAACACCAAAAUUGAUUUUUCGAAAAACAAUUUUCAAGACAGCCAAACAACCUGAGUAUAUUUUCCUUUUCUGAAAAAUAGCAUUUUUGGAAGAUAUGUAUUUUCCGAAAAUCGUUUUACCCGAUCCAAAUGCAGCCUAAAUUUUACACCAUUUUCACUGUUACAGUGGAUGGUUAUAAUUGACUAUACCAAACUCCCGACACAACGUUCCAUCUCCUGGGUAGUAAAAAAAAAAAAAAAAAAAAAAACCCACUUCUUUCUUCACCCCUCCUCCGUAAGUUCUUCUAAAACUCCCGACACAACGUUCCAUCUCCUGGGUAGAAAAAAAAAAAAAAAAAAAAAAAACCCACUUCUUUCUUCACCCCUCCUCCGUAAGUUCUUCUCCUACUCUCUCCCACUCCCUGUACUUUGUUAGUUUAUUUCCUGCAACAAUUUUGAGGCAAUUUCUCCAUACACUUUUUCCCUAUAUGCAAGCGAAGCCCAAAGCAAUAACGUUGUCAAGCCAACACUCACCUUCAAGCGGCAUCCCAUUUAGGUUUAAAAUUUAGAAUUGGUUUGAGAGAGUUAGAAAGAUGAGAAAAAUAAGGACAACAUUGGUAUUGGAGGACUCUGAAACGCCAAGGAAGGAAAUGAAGGAAAAGGUUUUUUGCUUGCUAUCUAUUGGUCUUCCUCAGCCUAUGCUAAAAAUCUCCACUGGUUAGCCCUUCUUUAUUUCAAUCAAUUUCCUUUCCUUCUCUUAACUAAAAGCAAAAGGCGUAGAGACAAGGACAGUGAGCGAGAGAGAUACCUACAUAUAUUUUAUGCUGUUAGAUUUUUGUAGAUUUCAGAAAUUACAAAUAAAAUUAUUUCAAUUUUUGUUCUUCGCUAUAAAGAAACUAAAUUAAACGUUGUGCUGAUUAUAUUUAUUUUUCUUUCCAAUCUAUUUUUAGGGUUUUUUUUUUUUUUUUUUGGGUUCCAUUACAAAUAAGAACACCAUAUAAUGAAAUAAAUAUGGAACCAAAAUAGAGGUUUUCAUAUCCAUUGAAUAUUUUUUUCAAAGGGUAAACAGAGGCAAUACCAGGUCAUAUGGUGCCAAUGUUGUUGAAUAGUAGUUAACCUCCUAACUUCUAAAAUUCUUACUCCUUUUAAGUUUGACAUUAAUUAUGAUUGAAUUAUAGUCAAAGCUGACAAUUUUUUUAACUGCAUUAUUAGUCUAUUGAGGAAACUGACUUAGACGUGGUUAUUUUGGUUUGAUUGAUUUAGAUUUAGAAUUGGCUUGAGAGAGAGGGUGAACCUAUUUAUUUAAAUCAGUAAGUUUUAUUUAAAAUGAGGUAUGACCUUGAUUUGUAUUAGUCUGUAUCUGUUAAUCUUAUCUUUGUUCACUCAAUGUAAGAGGAGUCAUUGAAGUGGUAUGAUGUGGACUGAAUAAUGAAUUAAGCAGUUAUGUUAGUGUAAAUACUUUCUUUGUUUAAUUAAAGCGGUUCAUCAUGCAAUUUUGUUUUGUUUGUUCAACUGUUUUUUGUUUAUUUAUUGUUAAAAUACUUUUUUUUUUCAUAAUUAUAAUUGUUUGUUAAAUGUUGUUUAAGAUCAUCUUCUGUAAGGGCUGAAUCUAUCUUCACCAAAAUGUAUAAAUAUUGUCUAACUUUGUUGGAUUCUUCUUCAUAUGCAAAGUUUAUGGUUCUUUGUUUUGAUGUUUUGAUGUAUUUCUUCCUAAUUGUUUAAUUGCACAUUUGUUAGUACAUUUAUCUGUAAGUUCAUGGAAUUGAGUUAAAGCACUAAAGUCUCAAAAAUGGAAUAGACAUGGUCAAAUCAUAUUUUAUGUAAUUGCAUGUGUUAUGAUACUGGAUUUAAAAAUUAGAAGUUGGCAUAUACAAUUUACCUUUGGCUAUUGGUUGUUGCUGUGAUUUAGAAUGAGCGAAAAUAUACUAAGUUUACUUAUUCAUAAAAGUCACUGGUCAUAUGACAUUGAACUAUUAUGUUUUACUUACAAGAUAUUUAAAGGUAAAAACAUUAUCAUACAAAAUUGGUUGAGAACUUAUUAGCAUUUUCGAGUCUGUACUGCUUGGUUAUGGCCAAAGCUAAUCAGAUUUACGCCCAGGCUUAAUGAUUGUCAUUGGGAAAGAAAUAAGGGAAAAUUGAUGGUUUUUGUGAUUGUAAUCUUUUCUGGUAAUGAGAUUAACCCCCUUUGAGAGAGUUAGAAAGAUGAGAAAAAGAAGGACACCAUUGGAGAACUUUGAAACACCAGAGAAGAAAACAUAGGCAAUGGGUUUUUGCCUUGCUAUCUAUUGGUCUCCCUUAGCCCAUGCCGAAAAGCCGCAUGUUUAGCCCCUUUCUUCAUUUCAAUCAAUUUGCUUUCCUUCUCUUUAUGUUUACAUUUCUGUUCCUUUCACUUUUAUAUUUUAUUUUCCUAUUCUAGAAAUUUGCAUAUUUAUUUAAUAUAUUUUCUGAAUAAUUUUUUGUUAUUCAAAUUUAAUCUUCUCUACUCAUGCAACACAGUAAAUUCUCUGUAUCCUCCACUACCAAUUGAAUUUGGUACUGUUCUAUAUUAUUGCAUUAGUUAAUGUUUCCAUUGCUGCAUUAGAAUUUGGAACAUAAUCUAAUCAAGGCGAAUAAAUGUGUAAUGGGGUUGAAAUAAGUUGUCUAUACUUAAUGUGUACAUGCAUGGUAUUUGGUGGUUGAGUUGCAUUGCUUUAUUGUGUGUUUUCUCUUCUUGCAUAUAUAACAGUUGGGAACGAAUUUGUAAUGAAGUUUCUGAUCAUUUGUCCUCUGGUUCAUACAAAACAUUUUUUAUAUUCUAGAAGUGACAUAACUUUGGUUUUCAUGGAUCUAUAAAAGAUAAGAUUUAGUUAUAUUUGCAUUAUGGUACAAAGUAACAUAUGGCAACAAUGUAGCGAGUUUCACCAAUUAGAUUCUCCUGCUGCUAUUUAAAUGAUUCCUUAGCCUAUAAAUUAUUAUAUGUCAAUUAGUAGUCGUGCCAUAAAAGUUUUGUCAUGAAAAAGUGCUAUAUACUCAGGGCUGGGACUCAAGUAAUUUUCUCUACAGGUAUGUUGUCAAUUUCAAGGCAUGGCAUAUAGGUAGAACCAAGUAGUUCCUUCAAUACUCCAAAAAAAGAUGCAUAGUUUCAAUGAUAAAUUAUAAUUUGUUAUGGCUGUUUUUAAUCCCAUGAAUAAACUUUAUUUGUGUUAAGAGGCUACAUAAGCACAAAGUUUAUUUAAAGAAAUUGUUAAUGUUACAAUAUCAUUAGUUGCUUGAAAAAAAGGUCCUUGUUUCCCCAUAACUUAUAACAUUCUACUGUAGUGGUGGCUAUCACAAUUAGAUUGCAAAACUAAUUUAUUACCAGUGCUAGGUAUGAGUAGAUGGAAUCCACCACCUGCUAUAUGAUUUAAAGUAUAUUGGGCUAUUCAUUUUCUGCAAAAUACUGAUGUUGUUGGUUUAGGAAUUGUUAUAAAGGGUAGCUUUGUGCAAAUAAUUGCAGGUCCUUCUAAAAAAAUUAGGGCUGUUAGUUGUGUCUUGAUUUGAUCUUAAUGUUGGUAUUUUUUAUGUUAUUUUCGAAACAGAGGUUUAGCAAGUGAUCUUUGCUAUGCAAUCUUCUAACUCCAAAUUUCAAAGCUAUGGACUUUUAAUUGCUGCUAUUUUAAUAUUUUAUACUCUAUUGCCCGGAUUUCAUUAGGGGAAAUUCAAUUUCAUUCCAGCCAAGCUAAAUAGGGUUAUAAUUUUAGCUAAUUAUGCAGGCUGAGGCUAUCUUCAUUCUCAUAAUUCCUCUUUUCUGUACAUUGUUACAAUGUUAUGUUCAAAAUCCUAAAUUACUUGAUGUGAGACUAGCAACUUUUCAUAUGAAAUUCAAGGAAUCUUGGAAAUUUUAAAUUAACAUUAAACAUAUAGCCCAAACAAGAAGUUUAAAUUUACAUUCCAUCCCAUCUCUCUCUUUUUGUGCCAUUGCUUUGGUUUUUAAUUUUUUUUUAAUAUAAUAAUAAUGAAUUUUUUUUUUUUGGUUACUGAGAAAUUGUAGGAAUCAAAUUAUGAAUAACUGUGGGUUUUUAUUUAGUAUGUUUGGGAUUCAAGCAUCUUUAUAUAGCUGUUUUAUUAACUGGCUACUAUUAGUUUCACUAUAUAUAUAGGUGUUAAAUUGUUAAUAAUGGCUGGUACAAUGACAAAACAAUGACAUAAUGGACUAUGCAAAUGGAUGAAAAUUUAUAUGGUUGAGGGUGGCUGUCACAAUGAUAGAUAUGCCUCAGAGUGUUUUUACAAGAAAUGUGCAACUUGUGUUUAUGGGACAGAUGACACCUACUCUAAGUUUAUGAAAAUUUAUAUGUAUUAUUUUUGUUUUAUUGCGUCUAUGAAAUUGUAUAUUUGAUGCAUUAGGUGUCUAGUUUAAGUUUUUUCAAGUAUUGUAGUUAAAAGUUGUAUAUAUUAUGUAUUUGUACUAUUAAAGUGUUGUAGCUAAACAAAAAAUGAGGGACGUUUAAACAUUUGGAUUCUUAUUUUCAAAUAUACCAUAGAAAGAUUGAAAUAUUAAGACAUGUGAAAUGAGUCUUUCUUUUUUCAUAUUUUUUUUCAUUUUUUGUCGUAGUUCUUUCGAGAAUCUAUCAAGAAACUUUAAUAUUAUUAUGUUCCUCUAGCAAUUUGAGAACCUUUCCUAGCAUGCACUUGCAAGCCUUUCCAAUACAUGGGUUCCAAAGGGAAAACUUUAAUAUUUGUAAUUUUUAUUUAAUUAUGUGCCCAAAGGGAAACCAUGGGUUCUACCCAUAGGCAGCUUUACUUUGUUUAUCUCAGUUGUAGUUUUUUUUUUUUUUUUUUUUUUUUUAUCAUAUCCUAGAACUUUUUAAGAACACUAGUUAAGUUUUUCAUAUAACUUUAACUCAUCAUGAGAUCAAAACUCUAACAAUGCAUUCAAAUCAAGAGGCACAAAGCCAAAAUCUUCUCAUCUGAUUUAAAGAACCAAAAACAACAAAUUUAAAGGUCCGUACAAAACCAUAGAAGAGCUGACAAUAACAAAAGCAAAUCUUGAAACAGAGUCCAUUACAUAACCAAAAAACCAAAAAUUAAACACAUAACAGAACUAACAACAAAAAUAUAUAUCAAAAUUGAAUCUCACAUCAAACAUUUACUUUUUAAAUUGCUACCCUACCCAUUUACGAAUUAUUUUAUUGAAACAAUUAAAGUAUGUAUUUAACUUGAUGCACUAACCCUAGAAACUUAUUACAAUCUCUUACUUCAAUAUAAAAAAUUCAGCCAUUCAAAUAUUAGUUGACUAAAAACAAAGAAAUUGUACUUGUAAGGAACCCAUUAUCGUGUUGGUGUGGUGUCGUAGGCAACCAAAAAUAAAACCUAUACUCCUAAAAAUAUAUGUAGUAGUGUGAGUAAGGAUCGUUCCCACAGAGAGUAUUUAGCCUAGUUUUAUGCUAUGUGAACAAAAGGGGGGGGGGUGUUUGAGUAUAAUGAAAAUAGUUUUAAGAAAAAAACAAUUAAGGAACAAUUCAAAUCAAAGUGUCAAAAUCAAUCAAGAGAACAAACCUUGGUCUAAAUCAACAUCCACCACCGGAAUUUUACAACUGAUCAUUGAUGCAAGUAUAUAUCAAUUCACACUUUGAAUAUUCACCGUUGGAACUAUUUUCCUAUCUCUCCUUAGUCGCAUCUAAUUAGAAAACAAGCGAUCUAAUUAACCCUAACUACUAAAUAACUUAAGACAAGUGCUAAAGAUUUAAUCUAGUAGCAGCCUUAAGAAUUAGAGAGAUCGGUGAAACUAAACAACACAAGCACAAGUGGUUGUAUUUAAUUUAGUUGAGUGUUCUUUCCAGGAUCUAAUAAUUUCUGACGUAGCAAAUUAUUAAAUCUUGGUUGCUUCGCAAGUUAGAGAGAUCAAACAAUUACGGAUUUGAUAUCUAACCUAGCAGUAGAUUGCAAUGAAUAAUAAACUAAUAGGCCUCUUAGUAAUUAAGCGAGACAAUCAUGAAAAUAGGUACAGAAAAACAUCUGAUACUCAAAGCAUAAAAUUGAAUAAUAAAAACAAAUUAGAUUUCACAGUUUUACUAAUUCCGAGGUUUCAGUUUCCUUCAACCAAGUUUACACACUUUACGAAUCAUAUUCUUCUCAAAUUUCACAUUCUCUUUCCUACAAAUCAAAACAAUCCAGAAGUAUUUAAAUAUAUUAUAUAAUGUAUAUUAUACCACGAAAACUGAUAGAGAAACUACCAAAUUCAUAUAAUUUAUAUAUUAUUAAAAGUUAAAGCGUAGCAUUUAAUGUUGCUACGCUCACAUUGAGCCACGUCAUCAGCCACGUCGUUCCCAUCCUCUUUUCUCAAUUUUUAAUUUAAUUUUAAAAUACCAAUAAAAAUAAAAUUAUUUCUAGCCCUAUUUCUACUUUAAAGUUCACUUCUUAUAAUUUAAUUCUACUAUAAAGACCAAGUCCACACCCAAAGCCUUUUCAACUAAAUCCCUUAUGUUUUUUUCACGGUUACAACUUCCUAUCUCCUAGUCCCACGUUUUGUUUCAUUGUUUCAGGUUUAGUCCCUUCCCUUUCCCCACGUUUUGAUUCUCACGGUUUCAUCUUCCUGAUCUACAGUUUCAGCUUCUAUUUUGGCUUCUAACGGUAGCCUCUCUGUCUUCCUUCCUUCCUUCCUCUCUUCACAUCUAUAUAAAUACUGACGUAAGCGGCUUGGUUCAGUUGAGGUAUCCCUACAUUCCAAUUUCUUUUGUGUUCUAUUCUUUUGCUUGAUGGUUUUUUUUCCCCCUUUUGACGUUUGUUUCUGCCUAGGGUGUUGAAUUUGUCUCUGCUGGGUUGUUUAAUUGGGGCACUGCUUCUUUUGGGUAUGUUCAUUAUGAUUUUCUAGCUAUAUUGAAUCUAUAUAUUAAAUCUGUCGCCUUUUACUAUUUCGUGCUGUGCUCUAUUCUUUUGUUUGAUGGUUGUUUUUUUUUUUUUUUCCUUUCUACAAUGUUUCUACCUAGGUUGUUGAAUUUGUUACUGCUGGGUUACUUAAUUGGAGCACUACUUCUUUUGGGUAUGUUCAUUCUGAUUUUUUAGCUAUAUUGAAUCUAUAUAUUAAAUUUGUCAUCUUUCUUAUUAAUCUUAUUUUUCCACUUGCUGGUUGGUUUCUCACUAUCCCAUAAAACCGAUAAUGAACGGUUUUUUGGUACAUUCCAAUGUUGAAAUUUUGUGCACAUCAUGCGUUUGACAAAAUGUCUUACUUACUCUUGCAUUAGUUUAUAUCCACUUUAUGGUUUGUGCCUGUUGGUUUUAGUUGCCAUUAGAGCACUGCUUCUUUUGGGUAUGUUUAUUCUAAUUUUCUAGCUAUAUUGAAUCUAUAUAUUAAAUCUGUCAUCUUUCUUAGUAAUCUUAUUUUUCCAUUUGCUGGUUGGUUUCUCACUGUCCCAAAAAACCAACAGUAUUAUUUUGAAUUCUAGGUUCUAUAUUUUAUUUUGCGAAUUGGAAGGUUUAACAUCAAUUAAGAUAGAUAUCAUUUGCUUUCUUAUGAUAUAAAAACCACGAAAGAGUUGGGUUUUUGGCUUUAUACUGUUCAUGGAAUAAUUUAAUUAGUUUUUUAGUUUCGUAUAUUUGAUAGUCUUCAAUUUGUUUGUUCUGUCUAUUUGUUAUGUUAUUGUUGUUGUUUGUUGUGUUAUAGGAACUAUUCAAUGUGUAAAUAAGUUGUAUAUUUCUAUUUUAAACUAUUAAUUUCUUUAUUUAUAAUAAAAAUCGUUAAUAUCUUAGACAUUGUUUAGAAGAAAAAAAAAAAAAAAUCCUAUAUCUUAGACAUUGAUACGUGAGGUGUGGAUUUUUGACUUCACUUUGAUUGUUUGAACUAUUUGAUGUGCUCAUCCCACACUUAGAAUUGUUCAUUAUCGAUUUUAUGGUACAUUCUAAUGUUGAAAUUUUGUGCACACCAUGUGUUUGACAAAAUGUCUUACUUACUCUUGCAUUAGUUUAUAUCCACUUCAUGGUUUGUGCCUGUUGGUUUUAGUUGCCAUUGGUCAUUGCAUUUUUUCUAACGUGCAUUUAGGCAUACUUUGUCAUCAACAUAAGUGGCAAUUUAGUACUAUGUACACAAGAACUUUCCAUCAUCAAAACCCAAGUUGCAACAUUAGAAAAUUUAAUAAUCUUCUUAAAUAGGAAUGAAUUCUGGACUAUACCUGCUUUAUUAAUAUAUGUAUAUAACUAAAUAGCUACAACUUUAAAUUUGAUUGAGAUAAUCUAAAUAGGCAUGUUUUAUAAAUUAAUUGCGGUAAAGUGAAACAAAAAAUUAUAUCUAAUUAUAUGUAGCCAUUCUUAGACCUCAUACUCCUAUUAAUGGCCCGCAUCUUUCCUAAAUAUCUAGGUCAAGUUAAUUACAUUUCAAAUGUAUGCAAUUCAUAUCACUUCCUGGUGGUAGUUUCUUAUUUGAUGUGUUGUUUAAGAAAAUAGGGCAAUGAUUAGUGAAGGAAAAGACAAUUCAAUUUUGGUUAGUGGAGAUAGAGGUGUUGGGAAAAUUGAGACAACAAAGAUACUCAUGAGAUAUCUUGCACACUUAGGCGGGCAAUCUGGAGUAGAAGGACGCACGGUUGGAUUUCAAAUUUUCCUAAAUAAGUAUAUGCUUGGCAUAUUAUCAAAAGAAUUAAGUAAGAAUCAAGGUUUAUGUCCACAUUGACCUUUAAUAUCACAGUCCAACCCAGUUCUUGAGGUCUUUGGCAAUGCCAAAACAAUUUGAAACAACAACUCAAGGUUUUUAUUAGUUUUCCAUGGUUUGCUUUUCAAUGAAGACUAUCUUUACACUUUUAUUUCUUUCAUUUCAAUUAUACAUACUACAUAUAUAUUGCUUAAUUAUGCAUAUGUUUUAGGUAUAUCUGUUUGAACUUCUCAUUAUAAUGUCUCUUUCAUGUCAUAGUGACAUUUUUUUUUUUUUUGAAAAGGUCAUAAUUACAUUAUUAUGUAGAUAUAGUUGGGCAGAAAUUAGAACAAAUCUGCUAGAAAGUCCGACUGUUUGCUAGAUUACCAAUUCUGAAAGAAAAUACCAUUGCUUUUACCUCCUAUGUGCCACACCACCUUAGGUAUUUUAUAAUAUUCUGCUCAUUAAUUUAUCUCUUUAUAUAUGUCAUUUUAAAUAUAAGAUCUAUCUCAAGUUUAUAUAUAUAUAUAUAUAUAAUUUGCUCGCAUUAUCUUUUUAUUAGGGAGGAUUUGA
rnacentral:sRNA from 1 species